rnacentral:rRNA from 1 species
UUUUCCGGUUGAUCCUGCCGGACCCGACUGCUAUUUGAGGUGAGGAUAAACCAUGCGAGUUGUAUGGGAUACCUAAAUUUCCCAUGGCAAACUGCUUAGUAACACAUGAUCAACUUACCCUAUGGAGAAAUAUAACCUCGGGAAACUGAGGAUAAUGUUUCAUAGUUGAAUAGGCUUGGAAAAGUUUUUCAAUCAAAGGGAUAAGAAAAAUGGUUCUUAUCUGCCAUAGGAUAGGAUCGUGUUCGAUUAUGGUUGUUGGUGAGGUAACGGCUCACCAAGCCGAUAAUCGAUAGGGGCCGUGAGAGCGGGAGCCCCAAGAUGGGUACUGAGACAGCGACCCAGGCCUUACGAGGCGCAGCAGGUACGAAACCUCCGCAAUACACGAAAGUGUGACGGGGUUACCCAAAGUGUUCUCUAUUGAACUGUGGCAGGUGAGUAAUGUCCCCUGCUAGAAAGGAGAGGGCAAGGCUGGUGCCAGCCGCCGCGGUAAAACCAGCUCUUCAAGUGGUCGGGAUAAUUAUUGGGCUUAAAGUGUCCGUAGCCGGUUUAGUAAGUUCCUGGUAAAAUCGGGUAGCUUAACUAUCUGUAUGCUAGGAAUACUGCUAUACUAGAGGGCGGGAGAGGUCUGAGGUACUACAGGGGUAGGGGUGAAAUCUUAUAAUCCUUGUAGGACCACCAGUGGCGAAGGCGUCAGACUGGAACGCGCCUGACGGUGAGGGACGAAAGCCAGGGGAGCGAACCGGAUUAGAUACCCGGGUAGUCCUGGCCGUAAACGAUGCAUACUAGGUGAUGGUACGCCCAUGAGCCGUGUCAGUGCCGUAGGGAAACCGUUAAAUGUGCCGCCUGGGAAGUACGGUCGCAAGGCUAAAACUUAAAGGAAUGGCGGGGCAGCACCAGCGAGAGGAUAACUCU